GAUGAACGCUGGCGGCGUGCCUAAUACAUGCAAGUCGAGCGAACAGACGAGGAGCUUGCUCCUCUGACGUUAGCGGCGGACGGGUGAGUAACACGUGGAUAACCUACCUAUAAGACUGGGAUAACUUCGGGAAACCGGAGCUAAUACCGGAUAAUAUAUUGAACCGCAUGGUUCAAUAGUGAAAGACGGUUUUGCUGUCACUUAUAGAUGGAUCCGCGCCGCAUUAGCUAGUUGGUAAGGUAACGGCUUACCAAGGCGACGAUGCGUAGCCGACCUGAGAGGGGGGUAGGCGGCACUGGAAGUGGACCACGGAACGGAGUACUGAGAGAGGGAGCAGAAGGGAAUGUGAGGCAAUGGGGGAAAGCAUGACACAGUAGGAGCGAGUGAGAGAUAAAGACGUUGGGAGCGGAAUACUCGGUUAUGGGGGAAAAACCACUGUGGAAGGAAAAAAGGCGGGAUUGACGGUAACGAAUCAGAAAGCAACGGCUAACUACGUG
rnacentral:rRNA from 1 species